rnacentral:lncRNA from 1 species
UUCGGUUGUGUGGCUAGUUAUCGAGUUAUCUUAGAAUGCAAGUAGAACUUUCCAGACUUUGUCCAAUAUUCUGCUUGUCUUCGAUAGUUUCUCACAAUUAUCGAGUUGUUUGGUUUUAUUAAGUUCUAUUGUAUCGAUCUCUUAGUUCUAUCAAGCGCUCACAGUUAUCGAACGAUUUAAAUCUAGUUAGGUUGUCUUCAUCGGCUCUCUUGCACUGUUUAA